rnacentral:rRNA from 1 species
GACGAACGCUGGCGGCGUGCCUAAUACAUGCAAGUCGAGCGGACUUUAUCCUUCGGGGUAAGGUUAGCGGCGGACGGGUGAGUAACACGUAGGCAACCUGCCUAUGAGACUGGGAUAACUACCGGAAACGGUAGCUAAGACCGGAUACGCAAUUUCCUCGCAUGAGGGAAUUGGGAAAAGCGGAGUAAUCUGCUGCUCAUGGAUGGGCCUGCGGCGCAUUAGCUAGUUGGUGAGGUAACGGCUCACCAAGGCGACGAUGCGUAGCCGACCUGAGAGGGUGAUCGGCCACACUGGGACUGAGACACGGCCCAGACUCCUACGGGAGGCAGCAGUGGGGAAUCUUGCGCAAUGGGCGAAAGCCUGACGCAGCGACGCCGCGUGAGGGAUGACGGCCUCGGUGUAAC